UAACCGCAAGGCUUAAGAGGAAGGGUGAGAAAAAGUCGUAUAAAAGGCGAGAGAAAAGUUGACAGGGAUCAGUCGAGCGACUAUCUCUGACACGGUAACAUCUGUAGUGCACUCUCUGCAAUCAGCUCUAAGCUAUUUGCUAUUAUCAGUUCUCAAUCAUGGUCGUAUAUAAGGACAAAGAAAAGGCGAAAGAAAUCCAAUUCGAGUGACCAUCUCCGAUACGCCAGAGCUGCAGUGCGCCAUUCGUCACCAACUGCAUCCUUCGUCGUGUUACCACAGUUUUCAAUCAUGGUUAAUUAUGGCGUUGUGCUGCCGUUGGGUAUCGUAUCGUUGAUGGCUGGAUCAAUUACUGGUGUAUCGAUGUCUCCUGGGUAUGACGGGUACCAAAGCAAAACACUGCCGUGCCGUCUAACUAUUUAGCAUCUACUUCCGAUUCUCCAGCUUAUUACACUGCAGCUCUCAAGUGCUCCACCACCAAUGCCCCAGAGUAUUACACCACAGCUCAUGUUGCCCUGAGCUACUCCACUGAAUACUCGAAGUAUUAUUCUUCCCCGAGCGACACUACCAAAGGAUCGAGUACUACGUCGAGGUUCCCGAGUACUACAUCACCAAGGCACCGGAGUACAAAAACGGUCGAAUACUACACAGAAGCAAUCACAGUAAACUAUGGAUUCGUGCUGGUGCGAGUGUUGUAACGUUGAAGGCUGGAUCGAUCACUGGUCUGCCGAUUUCUCCUGGGUAUGGUGGGCAUCAACAACAAGAUACGCAACAACCGUUUACUGCACUGAGGCCUCAAAGUGCUACACCACCAAGGCUUCAGAUUAUAACACUACAGUUUAUGUUGAUCCGAGCUACUACGCAGAAGCUCCGAAGAAUUUUUCUUCCCCGAACUUUCACUACCUUCAACAAAACGCCGCCUCCUUACUAAACAACAACGUCAACACCUUCUUACUAUACGAAGGCCUCCAAGUAUUACGCCAUAAAGGCUCUUGAGUAUUAAACUCCAACCUAAGAUGUUCCAAAAACUAUAAUAAUGCAAUGCACUGUUCUGUUACCAGCUACUAUACCGAAGAUUGAACUUGUUACACCACCGAAGUUUUCAAGUACUUUUCUACAACCUACGUUGCCCCAGCUUACAUCACGAAGUCAACUGACUAGUACACCACGAAGGCAUUGGAGUAGUACACCACGAAGGCACUGGUAUGUUAAACCGAGGCUCCAGUUUACUACACUACAACCUACGCUGCUCAAAAAUACUACACUGAUUUCAAAGUACUACACCACGAAGGCACUGAAGUAUUACACUAUUACUUACGCUACUACCACCUGCUACACUGAAGCUCCGAAAGCAGUACUACUCUGCCCCGAGUUCCUACUCCACUAAGGCAGCCGAAUAUUACACCCUGAACGAUUCCGCAAUUUUCUACAUGGAAUUUCCUAAAUACUAGAGCCGACAUUUCUACUUGAGGUUACUUAUAUUUCGUUGAUUAUCAUGGUCAAUGGUCACUGGGAAUUAAUUCUGAAACUUUAAUGAAGAAAUAAAAAUUUUUAACGCG